rnacentral:rRNA from 1 species
CCUACGGGAGGCAGCAGUGGGGAAUAUUGCGCAAUGGGCGAAAGCCUGACGCAGCGACGCCGCGUGAGGGAUGAAGGUCUUCGGAUCGUAAACCUCUGUCAGCAGGGAAGAACGGUCACUGUGCUAAUCAGCAGUGACUUGACGGUACCUGCAAAGGAAGCACCGGCUAACUCCGUGCCAGCAGCCGCGGUAAGACGGAGGGUGCGAGCGUUAAUCGGAAUUACUGGGCGUAAAGCGCUCGUAGGCGGUAUGUCAAGUCAAGGGUGAAAUCCCCGCGCUCAACGUGGGAACUGCCUUUGAAACUGGCAAACUGGAGUGUGGGAGAGGAUAGUGGAAUUCCAGGUGUAGGAGUGAAAUCCGUAGAUAUCUGGAGGAACAUCAGUGGCGAAGGCGACUAUCUGGCACAUAACUGACGCUGAGGAGCGAAAGCGUGGGUAGCAAACAGGAUUAGAUACCCUGGUAGUC